UACAGAGGGGGCAAGCGUUGUUCGGAAUUACUGGGCGUAAAGGGCGCGUAGGCGGCCGCCUAAGUCAGACGUGAAAUCCCUCGGCUCAACCGGGGAACUGCGUCUGAUACUGGGUGGCUUGAAUUCGGGAGAGGGAUGCGGAAUUCCAGGUGUAGCGGUGAAAUGCGUAGAUAUCCGGAGGAACACCGGUGGCGAAGGCGGCUUCCUGGACCGACACUGACGCUGAGGCGCGAAAGCUAGGGGAGCGAACGGG
rnacentral:rRNA from 1 species